CUGUCUUUCGGCUUUUUCUCUCUCUCGACCUCUCUUCGUGCUAGGGUUUCCGCCCGCCACUCGCGUAGCCCCAGCCGCCACCGGGCUUCUUCUUCCCCACAAUAGCUCCUUGCCACUGCCCCCUGUCAGAUCCGAUAGCAACUCCGAGGUAAUUUGUUGCCCCAUUCUCCUCAAUAGGCAGUCGACCCACCGAUUCCGCUACCCCGAAUUCCAGUAGGAGCAUGAGCAACGGUGGAAGGACGACCCCGACGCCUUGGACCAGGUCGUGACACCGGAAGUCGGAGGUGGAGGCAAUUGCCAGAAGACUUCGAGCAGCGGCGACGGAAAAUUUUGUGCGGCUGUUGCGUGGGGAAGAAGAGGUACGGCAUUGGGAGAAGGUAGAUGGGCGGGAAUUGCAGAAGCUCGCGGCCAUGGGGAGGUUGGUUGUGGUGUGUUGGGUGUAGUGGGGUCGGAGUUCCAGGGCUUCCUCGAGCUCCCUGUCAAGUUCGUGGUGGAGAUUUGUCAUUACCACACCAGUGCGAGGAGGAUGACCCCCCGCGUCUGCAUCGAUCGUUACACACAGCCAUCAAUUGAUUUCUUUCAUGUUGCUUGAUGCAGGAUAAUUCCCUUGAUUGGCGGCCGUUUGUGUAUUCCUGAAUUUCUAAUUGCCUGCUAUUCCCCAUUCCAACUACAUAAGGUUACGGCGGUCUUCUUGCGGAGGGGGAGCUUUCGGUGGUUGGGCUCCGUCUGAUGCAUCGGUCUUCUCCGGUCUGCUUGGUUGGUGGCGUCUUUUGGCUGCUGGGCUUCGUUGGUCUGCUCGCCUUCCUGCGCUCGAACUAAGAGGAGAGAUGAGACCAGGAGGAGCUCCCUUUUUAUUCUAAAAAGAAAGAUGAAUGCCGCUUCUCCACCACAAACAUAUUGGUUAUCAGCCUUCAGUCUGAAGUACGAGUUUAUACUGUUUGCAUAGUACUGAAGUCAAACUCCAUGUCCGAGCCAUAUUGCUGUUAGUGUUCAUUUCUAGGCAAUGAUUUCUUCGAAGCCAGUCUAGAAAAACAUUUCAAGUUUAAGUAACACAGGAAUGUCUUGGCCUCUUGGGCUUGUGGACAACAUAAGUCCAGUACGUAUUGGCCGCAGUGCUAUUCACUAAUUGACUAUGGUUAUUGUUCUCUUAUUACCUUAAACAGACGUAGUAAUACAUGAAGGAUUGUUUCGCUCUUCAGAAACUGUACAUUCACUCAUUCAGUAGACUCUUCUUUCCAAGUGAACAUAGUUUCAUGGAUUAUCUUGGCUCCUACCACCAUCACCUAAUAUAGAAGGAAAUUUACUAACACCUUCUCUACCCACUUCUCCUUUUGGUGGCUAUAUCGAAUCCAUAUUACACGCUUGCUUCAUCGACCUUACUUGGACUGACUCCUAAGUGUAGUGAAAUGAAAAAUAAUCUGACAUUACUUGGAUCGACUCCUAAGUGCACUCAAAUAAGAAGUAAUCUGACCUUACUUAUGAUCCUGCCAUGAUAUAUAUUGGCUGAGUAGAGAACUAGCUAGCACUAUACCAUGGUUGCAUCUUAAUAGUUUAUUACUAACUAUGUGGAUUUUUUUUUUCAUUCCUGCUGGUACUGCUUGCCCUGAAGAACAUGUUAAUAAAAUUCAGUUUCAAUAGACUUAUUUUCUGAAGGUAUAAUAUUGUAUACAUGCCAAUAAGAUCAUUAUAUUUUCCAGUAUCAUGCAUUUGUUCUUUUAGAUCACAGGACAAGUGUGGAGCGAUUCAUUUUUCUGGGAGUUUCUGUGACUGAUAGA